CGACGGGUUGAAGACCCUCAUGGAUGAGUUUGCCGGCUCAUAAUCCCGCGUCCGCGGGAUCACAGGUUCAAAUCCUGUACCCGUAACCA
rnacentral:tRNA from 1 species